CACUCUGUAGCUCAGUUGGUUAGAGCGCUGCACCGGAAUUGCAGGCCCACAGGUUCGAUUCCUCGGACCAG